UUGGAGGGCAAGUCUGGUGCCAGCAGCCGCGGUAAUUCCAGCUCCAAUAGCGUAUAUUAAAGUUGUUGCAGUUAAAAAGCUCGUAGUUGAAUUUCGGGAUCAAUGUUUCGGUCAUGCCGUUGGUAUGUACUGAUAUUAUUGGUUUCUCACCUUCUAAAGAACCGUAAUGCCAUUAAUUUGGUGUCACGGGGAAUUAGGACUGUUACCUUGAAAAAAUUAGAGUGUUUAAAGCAGGCUCACGCUUGAAUACAUUAGCAUGGAAUAAUGAAAUAGGACAUCCGAUUCUAUUUUGUUGGUUUCUAGGAUCGAUGUAAUGAUUAAUAGGGAUAGUUGGGGGCAUUAGUAUUCAAUUGUCAGAGGUGAAAUUCUUGGAUUUAUUGAAGACUAACUACUGCGAAAGCAUUUGCCAAGGAUGUUUUCAUUAAUCAAGAACGAAAGUUAGGGGAUCGAAGACGAUCAGAUACCGUCGUAGUCCUAACCAUAGACUAUGCCGACUAGGGAUCGGAUGAUGUUAAUUUUUUAAUGACUCAUUCGGUGCCUUACGGGAAACCAAAGUGUUUGGGUUC
rnacentral:rRNA from 1 species